UUAACGGAAAAGUCUUUUAAUAGCAACGAUACAAUUAUUUUUAAUCCACUGAUAAAAAGACAAGAAAAAGGAAAAAAAAAAAAUAGAGAACUAAGUAUUUGGUGUUCAAAAAUUGGUGGAGACCUUUUAUGUACUUCAGAUUGACAACGGCCGUGAGUAAUGGGAUAUUAAUUUGUUUUUCGAUGGACACAGUAGUACAUGUAUUACUAGGGCCCAAUCCACAAAGUCUCAAAAAGCCUUCUCUAAAUUUGGUAGACAUUAAAUUGUAUAAAAUAGGAUUAAUUGCUGAAUUCAAAUACAGCAUUACUCUACAGAAAUAUAAGAGACUGUAAUAUCCCUCGAUUCCAAGAUUGAUUAUCAUUUCUUGAGGUACUACGAUUAUCCAUAAUGUCAAUGCUCGAAAAGCUGGGCCACGGCUUAUCGCAGGAUUUGCCAUGAGGUGUAGCGCUAUCACCGUGUAAAGUACCAUUAAAAUUAACAAUGGUACGACGAAAAAGACGAUUAUCGUUGUAAGGACGAAAACGUUCAUCCAUGUUGCAUCGGCGGAAGUGUAACAGAUUGGCGAACUACCCCGUUGAUUGACUUUACCGUCGAUUAAUGUCAAUCGUAGAAGGAUAUAGUAACGAGUUUCUUCCUCUCCCCUCCCCCCGAGAAAAGGAAAAACGCAAAGAAGGGUUGCUAUCGAAAGGUAAUAUGUCUUGUUUUCUAUUUUUUUGCGAGAUCCAUCCAAAAAAUUGGAUACGAUAUCAUCGAUUAAAAAAGGGUGCGAAUUUCUUAAGGAGUUUCACACAUGUCAGUUUUGCAUUGCAAAUAUAACUUUUUGCAAAACAGAUUCAACCUUUUGCAAAUCAAGUUUUUC